rnacentral:rRNA from 1 species
UUGUUAUGUUCUUAAAACCCAAAGAAUUUGGCGGUAUUUUAUUUCUUUUAGAGGAACCUGUCCUAUAAUUGAUAAUCCACGAAAGGAUUUACUUAUUCUUGUUUUCAUUUGGUAUACCUCCGUCAUCAGGGUAUCCUUUUAGGGUUUAAUAUUCUUAAUAUAUAAAAUAUAAUAUGUCAGGUCAAGGUGCAAUUUAUGAGUAAGUAGAGAUGGGUUACAAUGAAAUUAUUUAGACGAAUUAUUAUUUUUAAGGAUAAUAUGAAGGUGGAUUUAAAAGUAAAAUUAUUUUAUUUAUUAUUUUGACUAUAGCUCUAAAAUAUGCACACAUCGCCCGUCGCUCUUAUUUUAAAAUAAGAUAAGUCGUAACAUAGUAGGUGUACCGGAAGGUGUUCCUAGAA